AGUCAAAAUGUGUCCUAUGGGUGGUCUACUGUCGGAGCUAGUAUUCGUAAGCAGUACAGGUGUAUCGGACAAUGCUCAAUGGAUACGAAGGAGCACAGCCCCUCGCGGAGCUUCCGUAAAAAAUGCUUAAUCCAAGCCGAUCCGAUUAUUCUCCUCGAAAACCAACCUGCUUCCAAGAGCUACCAGAGGGGCUCAAGAAGGAAUGGGUCUUGUGCAACAUUCGGUGCCACUUGGGUUGAGACAAAUCAACUCGUCAAUGUCGGCGGGGGCAUGGAUCAAUUCCUCCAUUGCGCUGUUAGCAGCAGGUCUAUUUUCACCGCAACUAACCUGAACAAUGCGCUCGGCAAACUAUUAACACUCAGCACCGCCUGGAUUCUGCUAGGACAAUCAAGUACAGAGUGCUAUAAGCACCUCGGUAACAUCUGGUUAUACAAGAGAAAUCGGUGUAGUAUGAAAAUGUUACAGGAAACGUACAUAAGGAAAAGAUUGUCUGCAGGACAAUCCGACAGCGCACUUCAACUCCUUGCCGAGCGAAUGGGCGGCAACAAUGUUAGGGACCUCAGCAACGUUAUCAUUUCUGGGUCACUUAUCUUGGCACCAUGGUCGCAUUUUAGUGGCAUUCACUGGAGCUCUUCAGCGGGAAAAGGAUCUGGGCGGAUCAUCUCACGUAUUACGUUAUAUCCAGCGCCAGGAGAGCAUAUUACUGUAAAUAUCGGCACCUAUGAUGACUUACUGUCUACGACUAGUUCUAGAAUGAAA